GGAAUUCGCCCUUUCCGGUUGAUCCCGGCGGAGGCCACUGCUAUCGGGGUUUGAUUAAGCCAUGCGAGUCGAGGGGUGCAAGACCUCGGCGUACUGCUCAGUAACACGUGGACAAUCUGCCCUGAAGUGGAGGAUAAUCCCGGGAAACUGGGGGUAAUACUCCAUAGUUCGUGCUGACUGGAAUGUUAUGCGAACGAAAGAUCCGUCGCUUCAGGAUGAGUCUGCGGCCGAUUAGGUAGUUGUUGGGGUAACGGCCCAACAAGCCUGUCAUCGGUGCGGGUUGUGGGAGCAAGAGCCCGGAGAUGGAUUCUGAGACACGAAUCCAGGCCCUACGGGGCGCAGCAGGCGCGAAAACUUUACCAUGCGGGCAACCGUGAUAAGGAAACCCCGAGUGCCAGCACAGGCUGGCUGUCCACCAGUGUAAAUAACUGGUGAAGAAAGGGCCGGGCAAGACCGGUGCCAGCCGCCGCGGUAAUACCGGCGGCUCGAGUGGUGGCCGCUAUUACUGGGCUUAAAGGGUCCGUAGCUGGAUAUACAAGUCCCUUGAGAAAUCCGCCGGCUUAACCGGUGGGCGUUCAGGGGAAACUGUAUUUCUAGGGACCGGGAGAGGUGAGAGGUACUGCCGGGGUAGGAGUGAAAUCCUGUAAUCCCGGUGGGACCACCUAUGGCGAAGGCAUCUCACCAGAACGGGUCCGACAGUGAGGGACGAAAGCUGGGGGAGCAAACCGGAUUAGAUACCCGGGUAGUCCCAGCUGUAAACGAUGCGCGUUAGGUGUGUCAGUGACCACGUGUCACUGAGGUGCCGAAGGGAAACCGUGAAACGCGCCGCCUGGGGAGUACGGUCGCAAGGCUGAAACUUAAAGGAAUUGGCGGGGGAGCACCACAACGGGUGGAGCCUGCGGUUUAAUCGGACUCAACGCCGGAAAUCUCACCGGAUAAGACAGCUGAAUGAUAGUCGGGAUGAAGACUCUACUUGACUAGCUGAAAGGAGGUGCAUGGCCGUCGUCAGUUCGUACUGUGAAGCAUCCUGUUUAGUCAGGCAACGAGCGAGACCCA
rnacentral:rRNA from 1 species